rnacentral:rRNA from 1 species
AGUGAACGCUGGCGGCAGGCCUAAAUACAUGCAAGUCGAACGGCAGCACAGUGGAGCUUGCUCCAUGGGUGGCGAGUGGCGGACGGGUGAGGAAUACAUGGGAAUCUGCCCAGUCGUGGGGGAUAACGUAGGGAAACUUACGCUAAUACCGCAUGCGCCCUUCGGGGGAAAGGCCGGGGACCGGUAAGGCCGUGGCGCGAUUGGAUGAGCCCAUGUCGGAUUAGCUAGUUGGCGGGGUAACGGCCCACCAAGGCGACGAUCCGUAGCUGGUCUGAGAGGAUGAUCAGCCACACUGGAACUGAGACACGGUCCAGACUCCUACGGGAGGCAGCAGUAGGGAAUAUUGGACAAUGGGCGCAAGCCUGAUCCAGCCAUGCCGCGUGAGUGAAGAAGGCCCUCGGGUUGUAAAGCUCUUUUGUCCGGAAAGAAAAGCACUGGGUUAAUACCCCGGUGUCCUGACGGUACCGGAAGAAUAAGCACCGGCUAACUUCGUGCCAGCAGCCGAC